rnacentral:rRNA from 1 species
GGGUCAGUAGGUUGGUCGUGCCACCGGUACGUACUGGUCUCGCUGAUUCCUCCUUCCUGAAGAACCGUAAUGCCAUUAAUUUGGUGUUGCGGGGAAACAGGACUGUUACUUUGAAAAAAUUAGAGUGUUUAAAGCAAGCUAACGCUUGAAUACAUUGGCAUGGAAUAAUGAAAUAGGACGAUCGAUCCUAUUUUGUUGGUUUCUAGGAUUGACGUA